AAAAGAUUAUGUUUGGGGCAUUUUGGCCUUUAUAGAUAAGACUGUUGCAGACAGUAAAGUGUGGAGAGAGAGAGAGAGAAGGGGGGAAUAUGCCGCAAAGGGCCACAGGUCAGAUUUGAACCCUGGGCGCUGCGGCAAGGACUGAGCCCCGGCACAUGGGGUGCACGCUUUACCAGGUGAGCCAGCAGGGCGCUCCAACUGUAACUUUAAAAGGGUAUCUGCUUGGAUAACAUGGUAUACUGUAAUAUUUCACUUUUACCAGCGCUCCAAAAAAAUGUGGAAAGCAUGAACAGGAUGAAGGGAGUUUCUGCCAGAACAUGCGGAUGUUAGAUAAAAUGAGAGAUAGAUAAAAAAAUAUGAGUAACAGCAGCUAGAUUGUGGACAGUGAAGAGAAAAACCACUGUCCACUGUCUGUCUACUUGCAGGACCAAUAGGCUCAAAAAUUUGUCCCAACUGCCAUUGGCCUUUAAACUAAGUAAGAUAGUUUUAUUUAAACUAUUUAUUGUCUUGUUUAUGUUU